rnacentral:rRNA from 1 species
CACGUAGGGUGCGAGCGUUGUCCGGAAUCAUUGGGCGUAAAGGGCGCGUAGGUGGCGGGACAAGCGUGCGGUGAAAGCCUGGGGCUCAACCCCGGGUCGGCCGUGCGAACUGUUUUGCUUGAGCACUGUAGAGGCAGGCGGAAUUCCGGGUGUAGCGGUGGAAUGCGUAGAGAUCCGGAAGAACACCGGUGGCGAAGGCGGCCUGCUGGGCAGUAGCUGACACUGAGGCGCGACAGCGUGGGGAGCAAACAGG